UUUAAAAAAACAUCUCACAAAAAGUUGAUCUUAUUCAAAUGUCACGGCGAGCGGUUCCGGGCGACACCACUAGUCGCUGCAUAAUUCAUGGGACAAGAGGUACUAAGUGAAACGACCCUCAGGUUAAUAAAAAUAUUUUUAUGGUACUCUCGUUUCUGUUACCGGAAUGGGUGAAAUGUUAAAUGGACCAUUUAUGAGAAGUCAUUCACAUAACACUUGUAUGACAGGUAAUCACUACGUUCUGAAGUAGAGGCAAGAGUGUCUAACAGUCUAUAAUAGAUACAUUAACAGGUUUUAUUCGCAUAAUUUCCUCAAGCUUUAUUCCUCUAUAAUUUAAUCUCAUUGUUAGACGAAUCCAUGUUUAAAUUUGACCACAGAUUACUAAAUAGUCACUACGUAAAUUUGACUCACUGGUCAUUACUGAACUACUUACAGUCGUAAAUAAUCUAUAUUGUAUUGUUUAGCUGCAACAAUAUGUUCAGUGCUUGACAGUGUCCACUCGCCCACACAGCUCUCACCUCUGCACCUCGCACUGUUUACUCUCCGGCGUCCAAUCAAACGCGGCGUCAUCUCGAAGGCGCUCACCGCGCCAUACAUCGCGCUGUCAUUAUAUUUACAUAGCAUAUUUCGCGGCGAUGCCAAUAUGGCGCCCGCUUGCCUGUCCGCCAGAUAAAUCAGAGAUAGUGGGGGCUCGCCGUAUAGUAAGAAAUACAUAUUUACGAGAUGGUCGAUCUUAUUUAUAAGGCUGGAGACUAAGUUUUGCUCGAGGCAGUAUGACCCUCGCGUUACUCGCAGGAAAUCGCCUAAGACGGACCAGUUUUAGGUGACAUCAGCAUACGAGUGCGGACGUUGGACUUGCAAGUAUCCUUCACCGGAAACAAACAAUACGUGUCGCAUGUCUACAGGCAGUGGGCGGCCGGAAGUGACGUGCGCGGGCAGGUCCCGCAGACCACUUCCGUCGCUUUGACAAACAGCCCCCAAGGUCGGUGAUGGAGGGUUAAAAGGUCCGCUACAAUGGGCCCUUCGAGCAAAAAGAUUUUGAAAACCUGUUGUUUUUGUGAUUUGGGGCUCAAUAAAAAUAUA